GGGGGUGCAGCUCAGUGGUGGAGCACUUGCCUAGCAAGCUCGAGGCUCUGGGUUCCAUCCCCAGUGCUCGCA
rnacentral:tRNA from 1 species